rnacentral:rRNA from 1 species
AGUGAACGCUGGCGGUAGGCCUAACACAUGCAAGUCGAACGGCAGCACAGUAAGAGCUUGCUCUUACGGGUGGCGAGUGGCGGACGGGUGAGGAAUACAUCGGAAUCUACUUUUUCGUGGGGGAUAACGUAGGGAAACUUACGCUAAUACCGCAUACGACCUACGGGUGAAAGCAGUGGAUCUUCGGACCUUGCGCGAUUGAAUGAGCCGAUGUCGGAUUAGCUAGUUGGCGGGGUAAAGGCCCACCAAGGCGACGAUCCGUAGCUGGUCUGAGAGGAUGAUCGGCCACACUGGAGCUUGAACACGGACCAGACUCCUACGGGAGGGAGCAGUGGGGAAUAUUAGACAAAGGGGGGAAGCCUGGUCCAGCCAUACCGCGUGGGUGGAGAAGGCCUUCGGGUUGUAAAGCCCUUUUGUUGGGAAAGAAAAGCAGCAGGUUAAUACCCCGCUGUUCUGACGGUACCCAAAGAAUAAGCACCGGCUAACUUCGUG